rnacentral:misc_RNA from 1 species
GCUCCGUAGGUGAACCUGCGGAGGGAUCAUUACAGAGUUCUCGCCCUCGCGGGUAGAUCUCCCACCCACGGUUAUCGUUACUAUCGUUGCUUUGGCGGGCCGCCGGGUCCUGCCCGGCCCCCGGCCCCGGCUGUGGUGCGCCCGCCAGAGGCCCUACAAACUCUGAAUGUCAGUGUCGUCUGAGUACUAUACAAUAGUUAAAACUUUCAACAACGGAACUCUUGGUUCUG